rnacentral:rRNA from 1 species
UACGGAGGAUGCAAGCGUUAUCCGGAAUGAUUGGGCGUAAGCGUCCGCAGGUGGCAAUGUAAGUCUGCUGUUAAAGAGUCUAGCUCAACUAGAUAAAGCAGUGGAAACUACAUAGCUAGAGUACGUUCGGGGCAGAGGGAAUUCCUGGUGUAGCGGUGAAAAUGCGUAGAUAUCGGGAGGAACACCAGUGGCGAAGGCGACUACCUGGCCUGUUCUUGACGCUGAGGCGCGAAAGCUAAGGGGAGCAAACGGAGA